rnacentral:lncRNA from 1 species
CUCUCCUUAUUUUUUUUGCAAGCACUACUUUCUCCAUAUUGUUCUUAUAAUGGCAAGAGCAAAGUGAGCUUAGAUCGUGAAAAUCUUGAAUGGAGGUCAUCGUCAAACCAUGUAAUGGCAAGAUUUAUGACCUAAUGAGAACAACAAAAAAAUUGUAGCCAGGGUAUGGUAGUGUUAUUGUUAAUCUUUCUUUGACUUUAGCAAUCUUGAAAAAUGCGGAUGGUAAGGGGUCAUUCGCUAGAUAUGCUAUCAAUUGAAAUUUAAACUAGUGCAUUG